UACGGAGGAUCCAAGCGUUAUCCGGAAUCAUUGGGUUUAAAGGGUCCGUAGGCGGUCAGGUAAGUCAGUGGUGAAAGCCCAUCGCUCAACGAUGGAACGGCCAUUGAUACUGUCUGACUUGAAUUAUUGUGAAGUAACUAGAAUAUGUAGUGUAGCGGUGAAAUGCUUAGAUAUUACAUGGAAUACCAAUUGCGAAGGCAGGUUACUAACAAUAUAUUGACGCUGAUGGACGAAAGCGUGGGGAGCGAACAGG
rnacentral:rRNA from 1 species